ensembl:lncRNA novel transcript
GCAAGAUGGCAGGUGAAAAAGUUGAGAAGCCAGAUACUAAAGAGAAGAAACCCGAAGCCAAGAAGGUUGAUGCUGGUGGCAAGAAAGGCCAUGUAGAAGAGGAAGUACUCAGCCGCUAAAUCCAAGGUUGAAAAGAAAAAGAAGGAGAAGGUUCUUGCAGCUGUUACAAAACCAGUUGGUGGUGACAAGAACGGCGGUACCCGGGUGGUUAAACUUCGCAAAAUGCCUAGAUAGUAUCCUACUGAAGAUGUGCCUCGAAAGCUGUUGAGCCACGGCAAAAAACCCUUCAGUCAGCACGUGAGAAAACUGCGAGCCAGCAUUACCCCCGGGACCAUUCUGAUCAUCCUCACUGGACGCCACAGGGGCAAGAGGGUGGUUUUCCUGAAGCAGCUGGCUAGUGGCUUAUUACUUGUGACUGGACCUCUGGUCCUCAAUCGAGUUCCUCUACGAAGAACACACCAGAAAUUUGUCAUUGCCACCUCAACCAAAAUCGAUAUCAGCAAUGUAAAAAUCCCAAAACAUCUUACUGAUGCUUACUUCAAGAAGAAGAAGCUGCGGAAGCCCAGACACCAGGAAGGUGAGAUCUUCGACACAGAAAAAGAGAAAUAUGAGAUUACGGAGCAGCGCAAGAUUGAUCAGAAAGCUGUGGACUCACAAAUUUUACCAAAAAUCAAAGCUAUUCCUCAGCUCCAGGGCUACCUGCGAUCUGUGUUUGCUCUGACGAAUGGAAUUUAUCCUCACAAAUUGG